GUGUGUUCCAGGUAAAUCCGGUUCACUUUAACACUGAGGCGUGAUGACGAGGCACUACGGUGCUGAAGUAACAAAUGCCCUGCUUCCAGGAAAAGCCUCUAAGCAUCAGGUAACAUCAAAUCGUACCCCAAACCGACACAGGUGGUCAGGUAGAGAAUACCAAGGCGCUUGAGAGAACUCGGGUGAAGGAACUAGGCAAAAUGGUGCCGUAACUUCGGGAGAAGGCACGCUGACACGUAGGUGAAGUGAUUUACUCACGGAGCUGAAGUCAGUCGAAGAUACCAGCUGGCUGCAACUGUUUAUUAAAAACACAGCACUGUGCAAACACGAAAGUGGACGUAUACGGUGUGACGCCUGCCCGGUGCCGGAAGGUUAAUUGAUGGGGUCAGCGCAAGCGAAGCUCCUGAUCGAAGCCCCGGUAAACGGCGGCCGUAACUAUAACGGUCCUAAGGUAGCGAAAUUCCUUGUCGGGUAAGUUCCGACCUGCACGAAUGGCGUAAUGAUGGCCAGGCUGUCUCCACCCGAGACUCAGUGAAAUUGAACUCGCUGUGAAGAUGCAGUGUACCCGCGGCAAGACGGAAAGACCCCGUGAACCUUUACUAUAGCUUGACACUGAACAUUGAGCCUUGAUGUGUAGGAUAGGUGGGAGGCUUUGAAGUGUGGACGCCAGUCUGCAUGGAGCCGACCUUGAAAUACCACCCUUUAAUGUUUGAUGUUCUAACGUGGACCCGUUACCCGGGUUGCGGACAGUGUCUGGUGGGUAGUUUGACUGGGGCGGUCUCCUCCUAAAGAGUAACGGAGGAGCACGAAGGUUGGCUAAUCCUGGUCGGACAUCAGGAGGUUAGUGCAAUGGCAUAAGCCAGCUUGACUGCGAGCGUGACGGCGCGAGCAGGUGCGAAAGCAGGUCAUAGUGAUCCGGUGGUUCUGAAUGGAAGGGCCAUCGCUCAACGGAUAAAAGGUACUCCGGGGAUAACAGGCUGAUACCGCCCAAGAGUUCAUAUCGACGGCGGUGUUUGGCACCUCGAUGUCGGCUCAUCACAUCCUGGGGCUGAAGUAGGUCCCAAGGGUAUGGCUGUUCGCCAUUUAAAGUGGUACGCGAGCUGGGUUUAGAACGUCGUGAGACAGUUCGGUCCCUAUCUGCCGUGGGCGCUGGAGAACUGAGGGGGGCUGCUCCUAGUACGAGAGGACCGGAGUGGACGCAUCACUGGUGUUCGGGUUGUCAUGCCAAUGGCACUGCCCGGUAGCUAAAUGCGGAAGAGAUAAGUGCUGAAAGCAUCUAAGCACGAAACUUGCCCCGAGAUGAGUUCUCCCUGAGACUUUAGGUCUCCUGAAGGAACGUUGAAGACGACGACGUUGAUAGGCCGGGUGUGUAAGCGCAGCGAUGCGUUGAGCUAACCGGUACUAAUGAACCGUGAGGCUUAACCUU
rnacentral:rRNA from 1 species